rnacentral:rRNA from 1 species
AACGAACGCUGGCGGCAUGCCUAACACAUGCAAGUCGAACGAGACCUUCGGGUCUAGUGGCGCACGGGUGCGUAACGCGUGGGAACCUGCCCUUAGGUUCGGAAUAACUCCCCGAAAGGGGUGCUAAUACCGGAUAAUGUCUUCGGAUCAAAGAUUCAUCGCCUUUGGAUGGGCCCGCGUUGGAUUAGCUAGUCGGUAGUGUAACAGCCUACCAAGGCGUCGUUCCAUAGCUGGGCUGAGAGCAUGAUCAGCCACACUGGGGCUGAGACACGGCCCAGACUCGUACGGGAUGCAGGAGUGGGGAAUAUUGGACAAGGGGGGAAGGCCUGAUCACGCAAUGCCGCGGAAGUGAUGAAGGCGUUAGGGAUGUAAAGCUCUUUUACCCGGGAUGAUAAUGACGGUACCGGGAGAAUAAGCACCGGCUAACUCCGUG